CCCAUAUCUGUUAUGUUAGAAUUGUAUAUAGGCCAAGAAUCCAUACGUAUUGACUUGAAGGGGGGUGGGUCUCCCAAUUUUUUCCUUUGGGCGUGUAACCUCUACCAAGGCAGCUUUUUCUGGUUUUGCUUAUUUUAAGGAUCCGCACACAACUUCAGUUGGGCAGCUGAAGGGGUUAGUGGUUUCACUUUGUUAAUGACCCACUCGUUUAGAGGGGUAAGACUUGCCAAUGUCACACGCAGCAGGUGGGGUGGGGGGCAAGGAUCUGACUCUGGAACUCCUCCUUCCACACCUAGGCAUCUUCCCUGUGUCUCCACACCCCUCACCAAACCUCCUCCACCCAGAUUCCUUCCCUGGGACACAAAUAAUGUAGGCGGAGUUGGUUUUCAGGUUUUUAUUGUGGGUGUAUUUCUGGUAGCGGGAUAGGGCGGAGGGGCAGAGGAGGCCCAGCGCGACAGGUGGAAAAGGAGGAGGGAUGGGGGGCUUCCUUACUCCCGGAUCUUCAAUUCCCGCGCCAUCUGACAGAGGGCGCAGGGCAAACAAAAGGUGAGGGCCGCCCAGUCGUGCCCGACAGAGCCCUAGAGGGUGGGAGAGAGAGGUUAGGAGCCCCGCCAGGGUCCCAGGAGGCCCGUCCCCCAGCCCCCUGCUCCGCGCCCCCCCCCCCCCCGCCCCCGCGCGCACCUGGAUGUGGUAGCGCUCCCGCAUGCCGGUGCGCAGCGAGUGCAGGCCUCCGGGCAGGUAGGGCGCGCAGCAGCACUCCCCGAAGUCGUCCGAGAUGCGGCAGGCGAGGCACAGAGGGGCGAAAGUGCCGCACAGACCUGGGGCGGGCGCGGGGCAGUCAGAGCGGGGGCCCACCGGGCGCCCCGGCCCCCUCCGCCUCGGGGAGAGGCGAGGCUGAUGGUCCGCGGCGCCAAAUCCGCCAAAUCGAGGGUCCCAGAGGGGAUCCGGGGACCCAGAGGGAAUGGUUUAGAGGUUGGGAGAUAGGGUUUGGAGAAGGAGCUGGGGCCGCGACAAGGAAAGUUGAGGGUGCAAGGGGUUGAGGGUCCGAGGGGAAGCUGGAAGGUAUGAGGUUAGGAUCCUAGGGAGUGUCGGAGGUGGGAGUUAGGGGUGAGGUUUAGAGUGUGGGAAUUCGGGGUCCAAGGAAGGGAGCGGGAGUGGGGUUAGUAGGGCCGGGGAAGGGGUUGGAGGUGACCUUCCCCCUCUCCUGGAGGGAGCUGCAGGCACUCACAGACAGGCAUGUCGUUGCAGCAGUCUGUGAGUCCGGUGUGCCAGUCACUGAGCUGGGUCUGGUAGCAGCUGCUGGCACACUGGGGCUGGCUGGUCACUGGGUAGGACAUGGCUGCGAAGGAAGGUAGCGGGCCGGAGUGAGCGGGAGGCUGCCAGCCUCUCCCCACAUCCCUGCCCCCAGAGCCCCUUCCUCUGCCGGGCAGUCUGGGCGGGGCCACCAGGCCGCCCGCGGAGGGGACACCACUGCACCUCCCCUGUCCUCUGCUACAUUUGGGCACUGACACCCCAGUUUGUCCCCGUUGCCACUGCCUCCUGCACAUCUGGUUGAGCUGUGGGUGGGGAACUCAUGCACGUCUGGGGAAGGGUGGGUGCCACAUCUGGGUGGGGCUGAGAAGUGGUGUUGCCUCCUCCACGUCUGGGCCUGGGGUGCUGGGUUCCUGCAUUUCCAGGGGCCUCUGGGGUGCGAUCAGGCGCCAUCUGUCUUCGAAGCCAGGGUACCCAGGGGAGGGAAGCUGCCGGGUUCCGGGACUGGAAGGGUUGCUGGUUCAUCCAGUGAUCCCACCUUUGCCUUUCACGUUGUCGUGCAUCUCAAACUGCAUCUUGCCAGCCCUGGGAAGGUGGCGUUGGGGGCGGCAGAGGUAGCGGCGGUGACAGUGGCCGAAUCUGUCCAAGGGAGGCUGGAUACUGGGGGAGGGGCAGGCACGGAGUAGGGGCACUGGGGGCUGGGUGCUCAGGGGGAAGGGAGCUGGGGAGAAAGAGGCCAAGUCAGCCUGCCAGCUAGGAGAAACAUGGAGUAGGGAUGUAUGGGGAGGGGCGAGAAACUCGCCCGUCUCUGUACAGCUGCCCGACAGACCCCAGAGGACCUUCCUCAUACCAGAGGCAGAGCUGGAGAGAGAGGCCAAGAAAUAGAGACAGGCAGAGUCAGAGACAAGGGGGGAAAGAGAUCAGAGCCAGGUGCCCAUCGAGAUGCCGCCAGUAACACUCACACCUGCUUAGCGCUUUGACUUCUCUGCAAGCCCAUUUCACAGAUGGAACACUGAGGCUCACACAGGUCAAGAGAAAAACCCCACAUCUGAUGGCCCAGACCAAAGGGGUGUGGUCAGUUGUCAUGGUUCUCCAAUCCUGACUGGAUGAAGGCAGGAGUUCUUUAUUGAAUGGGUUGUGUGAUGGAUUCUAGAGCCAGAAAACCCAAGUUCAAAUUCUGACAGCCUCUUCCUGCCUUCAGCAAAUCACUAAGCUUCCCAGGACCUCCAUUUGUCCACCUGCAAAAUGAGCUGUUGCAAAUAAAGUGGUUGAGAGGACUGGACGAGUUAACUCGUGCAAAGCGCUUAGAAUUGUGCCUCGCACACAGGAAGCAUUUUGUGUUUAUGCUGGUGAUGAUGGUGAGGUGCUGUUCUAGUCUCUGGAGAUACUGGAGUCACGGAGUAGGAAAUGAAACCACGUCUGCAUCUGCUCGUGGGCCUGGUGACUCUGCGUGGUGCCUGUGAUUCUCUGACUGUGUGGGUGCAAAUGAAGGUCACACUGAGCAGGCGGGCCUGACUUGAAGGACGCUAGCUGUGAUAAGCCCUCCUUGACGUCAAUCACCAUCCUCCAGCCAGUAGACGCUUCGCCUUCUACCUCCCUGGGCCACUCAAGACACGUUCCGCGGCAGGCGGGGCCCACAGACUAAAUCGGACAGCGAUAGGCUCUGGGAGACGCCAGUCUCCGCGAGUCUCUGCCAGUCUGCCAAUAGGACGGGCAGCUGCGGGGUGGGAUUCCCACGGCGCACCGCAGAGGCUGGAACUGCUCGCGAGGGAAACAGGUUCGGCGUGUCCAGUCGGAACAAAACCAAACCGACGGGCGAGGUAGGGCCAGGCCCCCGCCCUGCGUCGGUCACAGCAGCAGUAGAAGGCAAUGAUGGAGUGCAGCUCUGGCUGUCUACGGAGACUGCUGCCCCUGGGCGCUCCACAAGAUCGCGAGAAGGAACGGCAGCCUUGACUCCCUUUCAGCCCUCCCGUCGUCAGGCAUGCCCUCCUGGUGGCACACCUCUCCCUUCAGAUGUCAGGCAGCUUACUUUUCCCCUCCCGCUGCUCCCGGCCGGUCUCUC